AAGACUGGUUUUAGGAGUUAUUAUUUCUAUAAUUUGCUGUUACUAGAGACGUUUCUGUGUGGAGCCCUCAAAAUCUGAAUUCCACGAGGAGGUACAUUCUCUUCUGAGUGUCAAGUCAGCUCUUGUUGCUGCUAAUUGCCACUUGCUGCUGAUGACUCUUCAUUUCCUUGGGAAGGGUACGAGGGAGGGGACCCUUUAUGAGUGGU
ensembl:snoRNA U3 Small nucleolar RNA U3